rnacentral:rRNA from 1 species
AUUGAACGCUGGCGGCAGGCUUAACACAUGCAAGUCGAACGAGUGGCGGACGGGUGAGUAAUGCCUGGGAAUCUAGCUUAUGGAGGGGGAUAACUACUGGAAACUGUAGCUAAUACCGCGUACCAUAGGAUGAGCCCAAGUGGGAUUCGGUAGUUGGUGAGGUAACGGCUCACCGAGGCGACGAUCCCUAGCUGGUCUGAGAGGAUGACCAGCCACACUGGGACUGAGACACGGCCAAGACUCCUACGUGAGGAAGCAGUGGGGAAUAUUGCGCAAUGGGGGCAACCUGACGCAGCCAUGCCGCGUGAAGGAAGAAGGCCUUCGGGUUGUAAAGUUCUUUCAGUAGCGAGGCGUUAACUACAGAAGAAGCACCGGCUAACUCCGUGCCAGCAGCCGCGGUAAUUC